AUUGAACGCUGGCGGCAUGCUUUACACAUGCAAGUCGAACGGCAGCGCGGGCUUCGGCCUGGCGGCGAGUGGCGAACGGGUGAGUAAUGCAUCGGAACGUGCCCAGUAGUGGGGGAUAGCCCGGCGAAAGCCGGAUUAAUACCGCAUACGACCUGAGGGUGAAAGCGGGGGACCGAAAGGCCUCGCGCUAUUGGAGCGGCCGAUGUCGGAUUAGCUAGUUGGUGGGGUAAAGGCUUACCAAGGCGACGAUCCGUAGCUGGUCUGAGAGGACGACCAGCCACACUGGGACUGAGACACGGCCCAGACUCAUACGGGAGGCAGCAGUGGGGAAUUUUGGACAAUGGGGGCAACCCUGAUCCAGCCAUGCCGCGUGCGGGAAGAAGGCCUUCGGGUUGUAAACCGCUUUUGUUCGGGAAGAAAUCCUCUGGGCUAAUACCCCGGGGGGAUGACGGUACCGGAAGAAUAAGCACCGGCUAACUACGUG
rnacentral:rRNA from 1 species